rnacentral:rRNA from 1 species
UACGUAGGCAGCAAGCGUUGUUCGGAGUUACUGGGCGUAAAGUGUGCGCAGGCGGCAAAGCAAGUCGAGUGUGAAAGCCCCGGGCUUAACUUGGGAAUUGCGCUCGAAACUACUUUGCUGGAGUGUGGCAGAGGAAGGUGGAAUUCCACGUGUAGCGGUGAAAUGCGUAGAGAUGUGGAGGAACACCAAUGGCGAAGGCAGCCUUCUGGGCCAACACUGACGCUCAUGCACGAAAGCGUGGGGAGCAAACAGG